rnacentral:rRNA from 1 species
GAUGAACGCUGGCGGCGUGCCUAAUACAUGCAAGUCGAGCGAACAGACGAGGAGCUUGCUCCUCUGACGUUAGCGGCGGACGGGUGAGUAACACGUGGAUAACCUACCUAUAAGACUGGGAUAACUUCGGGAAACCGGAGCUAAUACCGGAUAAUAUAUUGAACCGCAUGGUUCAAUAGUGAAAGACGGUUUUGCUGUCACUUAUAGAUGGAUCCGCGCCGCAUUAGCUAGUUGGUAAAGUAACGGCUUACCAAGGCGACGAUGCGUAGCCGACCUGAGAGGGUGAUCGGCCACACUGGAACUGAGACACGGUCCAGACUCCUACGGGAGGCAGCAGUAGGGAAUCUUCCGCAAUGGGCGAAAGCCUGACGGAGCAACGCCGCGUGAGUGAUGAAGGUCUUCGGAUCGUAAAACUCUGUUAUUAGGGAAGAACAAAUGUGUAAGUAACUAUGCACGUCUUGACGGUACCUAAUCAGAAAGCCACGGCUAACUACGUG